rnacentral:lncRNA from 1 species
CUUAAAGCCCUAAAUGGCGGCUUCAAUAUCAGUCCCACUGAGCAUGAAAUUCAUUUACUUAAAUAAAAUCUGAAUCUCAGCCCAAACCUGGGAGAUUCAAAACCUGAGAGCGGUCUUACCAAAGACGCCCGUAUGUCUGGUGAAGUCAGUUGGAUGCAAGCAGUUUGUGCUGGUACCAGGGCCCCAGCUACUGAUGAAGUGGCAGGAGUCCACAGAAGCCUACUUCGAAGUUCCCGGGGCUUCCAGGGGAGAUUGACGAGAUUCCUGGGGAGGCGAUUCAUGACAGCUGAGUUCCUUUUGGAGGAUCCGUCUUCAGGCAGUCUGAUCCCCCAGGAAAGCAGCUGGAAAACAAGAGCAUGUGAAGGAAGCGCAGCAGCUCCUCGCCAGCCAGACAGCCAGCCCCGCACCGCAGGAGUCGACAUGCACGGCAGCCUAGACGCCAUCAGUUAAACUUAUAUGUAGGCUUGUUGAGGAAAACGACUUUCAAACACAAGGCAAAAGAAAAACAUGAAACCAAGGGUUCCAACAUUCAUCAUCCAGUUUCAGAGACACCCUUGAAGGAAUGCUACAGCCUCUUUCUUACCCAUUCAAACCAGUCGCUCUGCUGCAUACCCACAUCACAGGAGGCCCUCAGCCCCGACACACAGGCUCACUCAGCCCGGGGACAUCAGCACCUGUGCCAGCUCCGCAAGGUAUCCACCAUGCGGCCAGAACUGAGGCCCAGCAAUAGCUGAAAUGUCCUUUAAAUUAACAUGUACAACACACAACCCCCAAGAGCUGACAUCCCCAAAGCCCCACCACAAAUAGCUGACUCCUACUUAUACCUGCAGGAGCAGGUAGUGACCUCUGCAAUUCUAAACCGUCCACUUUGGGCAAAAUUCAUCAAGCUAUGGAUAUGAAAAAAGGCCCCCAAGGAUAUGAUUCAUAGUCCAGCGUUUGAGUGAGCACUCCAGUCAGAACGAACUCUGCAUUGUGAACAUCUGAACAGGGUGGAAACAGACACUUUAGUUAGAGAUCCACUGCUGUGCGUGCACACAUACUCACACAGGGCAAUGACGGACUCGCUGGCGGACUCCACUCUACCCACCGAGUUCUGCUUGUGCUCCAUGAGCUUCCGGAAAGAUGGCUGCUUGGAUAACACCUUUCCUCCUGCACACUCUACGAUUGCCUUCAUAGUGGAAAGACUUGGGCAGAUUCCAGGUGUGAUGUAAAAAUAUUUUGCCUAAAAUUAAAUGAAAAUAUAUGUAUUAUGUUCUUAAAA